rnacentral:rRNA from 1 species
UACGUAGGGGGCAAGCGUUGUCCGGAUUUAUUGGGCGUAAAGAGCUCGUAGGCGGUUGGGUAAGUCGGGUGUGAAAACUCCAGGCUCAACUUGGAGAUGCCACCCGAUACUGCUCUGACUUGGGUUCGGUAGGGGAGUGGGGAAUUCCUGGUGUAGCGGUGAAAUGCGCAGAUAUCAGGAAGAACACCCGUGGCGAAGGCGGUUCUCUGGGACGGUACUGACGCUGAGACGCGAAAGCGUGGGGAGCGAACAGG